rnacentral:lncRNA from 1 species
AAGCAGACAGUUUGGGGAAAGAUGGAUGGGAAGGAUUCUAAAUGUUAUAACCUUGGAUCUUACCAAGAUAUUGCUGAUGACCAGAAAAUAUCUGCAUCAAGUAGAGGCCAAGGAACUGAGAUUCAAUAAAACCAACAUGACUUGUGAUUACCUCAGAAGUAUUGUAGAAUUGUACAUAAUGACCAAGUGGGAUUUAUCCCAGAGAUGCAAGUAUUCGUCAGUAUCCACAAAGCAAUCAGUGUGAUACACCACAUUAACAAACUGAAGAAUAAAAACCAUAUGACCCACUCAAUAUAUGCAGAAAAAGCCUUUGACAAAAUCUAACACCAAUUUCUGAUAAAAACCCUUCAGAAAGUGAGCAUAAUGGGAACCUACCUCAACAUAAUAAAGGCCAUAUAUGACAAACCCAGAGUUAACUUCUCAAUGGUGAAAAGCUAAAAGAAUUACUGCUGAGAUAAUGAAUAAGUCAAGGCUGUCCCCUCUUGACACUACUAUUCAACAUAGUUUUGGAAGUCCUACCCAUGGCAAUCAGAGAAGUAAAAGAAAUAAAAGGAAUCCAAACUGGAACAGAAGUAAAACUAUCACUAUUUGCAGAUGACAUGAUACUAUACCUGCAGAAUCCUGAAGAUUCUACCAGAAAACUGUUAGAGCUCAUCAAUGAAUUUGGCAAAGUCGCAGGACAAAAUUAAUACACAGAAUUUGACUUCAUUUCUAUAUACUAACAAUGAAAGAUCAGAAAGAGAAAUUAGGGAAGUAAUCCCAUUUACCCUCGCAUCCAAAAGAAUAAAAUACUUAGGAAUAAACCUACCUAAAGAGACAAAAACCUGUACUCUGAAAACUGUAAGACACUGAUGAAAGAAAUCAAAAAUGACACAAACAGAUGGAAAGACAUACCAUGCUCUUGGAUUGGAAGAGUCAAUAUUAUCAAAAUGAUUAUACUACCCAAGACAGCGUAUAGACUGAAUGCAAUCCUAUUAAAUUACAAAGAACAUUUUUCACAGAACUUGAACAAAAUAUUUUAAAGUUUUUUGGAAGCACAAAAGACACAGAAUAGCCAAAGACAUCCUCAGAAAGAAAAAUGGAGCUGGAGGAAUCAGGCUCCCUCACUUCAGAUUAUACUACAAAGCUAUAGUCAUCAAAACUGUAAGGUACUGGCACAAAGACAGAAAUAGAGAUCAGUGGAACAGGAUAGAAAGCCCAGAAUUAAGCCCACACACCUAUAGCCAACUAAUCAGUGACAAAGGAGGCAAGAAAUAGACAAUGGAGAAAAGACAGCCCCUUCAAUAAGUGGUGCUGGGAAAACUGGACAGCCACAUGGAAAAGAAUGAAAGUAAACACUUUCUAACACCAUACACAAAAAUAAACUCAAAACAGAGUAAAGACCUAGGUAUAAGACCAGACACUAUAAAACUCUUAGAGGAAAACAUAGGCCAAACACUCUCUAACAUAAACAAAAGCAACAUCUUCUCAGAUCCACCUCUUAGAGUAAGUAAUGACAAUGAAAACAAAAAUAAACAAAUGGGACUUAAUUAAAAUUAAAAGUUUCUGCACAGCAAAGGCAACCCUAAACAACACAAAAAGACAACCCACAGAAUGGGAGAAAAUCUUUGCAAAUGAAGUGACUGACAAGGGAUUAAUCUCCAAAAUUUAUCAACAGCUCCUAUAGCUCAAUACCAAAAAACCAAACAACCCCAUCAAAAAAUGGGCAGAAGAUUUAAACAGACAAUUCUCCAAAGAAUACAUAUGGCUGGCCAUAAAACACAUGAAAAGAUGUUCAACAUCACUCAUUAUUAGAGAAAUGCAAAUCAAAACCACUAUGAGGUACCACUUUACACCAGCCAGAAUGGCCAUCAUCAAAAAGUCAACAAACCAUAAGUGCUGGAGAGGGUGAGGAGAAAAAGGAACACUAGUACACUGUUGGUGGGAAUAUAAGUUGGUGCAACCAUUGUGGAAAACAGUAUGGAGAUGCCUCAGAAAACUAAAAAUAGAACUACCACAUGAUCCAGCAAUCCCACUCCUGGGCAUCUAUCCAGAGAAAUCCAGGACUCGAAAAAUCACAUGUAGUCCAAUGUUCAUUGCAGCACUGUAUGCAAUAGCCAAGACAUGGAAACAACCUAAAUGUCCAUCAACAGAGGAGUGGACCAAGAAGAUGUGGUACAUACACAAUGGAAUAUUACUCAGCCAUUAAAAGGAAGGAAAUAACAGCAUUUGCAGCAACAUGGAUGGACCUAGAAAUUAUCAUGCUAAGUAAAGUCAGUCAGACAAUGAGAUAUCAACAUCAAAUGCUAUCACUUACAUGUGGAAUCUGAAUAAAGGACACAAUGAACUUCUUUGCAGAACAGAUACUGACUCACAGGCUUUGAAAAACUUACGGUUUCCAAUUGAGACAGUUUGGGGGGUUGGGGGAUGCAGUGAGGAUUUGGGAUGGAAAUGCUAUAAAAUUUGGUUGUGAUGACUGUUGUACAACUAUAAAUGUAAUAAAAUUGAGUAAUUUUAAAAAUUUAUGCCAUUGAAAAUUCAUAAAAAAAUAAGCAUUGUAGAAAUUCCUGGGACUCAUCAGUUCUACAACUUUGCAGUUACACCUAACUUGAAGUAACAUAAAUAUACAUAAAAUAUAAUAAACACUAUCACAUGUGCCCAAAGGGUUAAAUGAUCUUAUGCAAAGACACAUUUUUAACCCUUUUUUGUUGAAAUAUAGUUAAUUUACAAGGUCAUCUUAGUUUCAAGUGUGUAGUAAAGUAUUUCAGAUAUAUAUAUAUAUAUAUACACAUACACAUAUAUAUUUUCUUUUUCAGAUUUUUUUUCCAUUGUAAGUUAUUACAAGGUACUUAGUUCCUUGUGCUAUACAGUAGGUUCUUGUUCUUUUUAUAUAUAGUAGUAUGCAUAUGUUAAUCCCAAACUCCUAAUUUAUCUUCCCUCCCCACCACCCACUAUUACCUUUGGUAACUUUGUUUUCUAUGACUGAAAACCACAUUUUUUUCAUGUAUAUGGAAUAUAUUAGACAUAUAUUUUAAUGGUUGGUAAAGUCUGUAAAACAACACUAUUAGACAUAUAUCAAAUUAUUUUUAUCUUAUAAAAACAAGAACCCCUAUGAUAUGAAGUAUAAGCUAAUUGAUGUUUAUUAAACUAUUCAUACUC